AUGGGCCAAGGGUACAAACGUGGCCAGGGAGGUGCCAAAAGUAGCUAGGUGCAAGGCCCAAACACAAAAGGCCCAAUCUGCUUCACAAAGGAUCAGAGGGGUGCAUAAAUUUGGUAGGGUGCAAGGAGUAACGUGAAUGGGCUUUGUCUAGGUUUGGCCGAAAGUAAAUGAAAUAAGGACAAUCAAUUUUAGAAGCAUUCAAACUUCUCAAAACAAAUCCCUCGUGCUCAAUUUUCCUUCCACCUUAGGGAUUUCCGACUGUCGCCUCCAUCGCAUCGGGAAUCACCUCUGGUAGCGACCGAGGCUCAAUCAUCACCAAUUAUAUCUUAAUUUAGAUGUCUCUCCCUGAUCUACCCAGACCCUAAAUUAAUUUCUCCCAAUUCCACCUUAAUAAUCCAAAUUGAGAAGCACUAGGAUGAACCUUAAAAGUGAAAUCCAAUUGAUUCAAAGGCUCAGAGCAGCAAGAGGGAUCCAAAAACCCAGAGGUUUGAUCCCUCUGAUACCAAGAUACAUCUUAACAACAACAAAAAUCAACAAAAACGAUGAAUUCAAGUAAGCAUUGACCUCGACAAUGGAGUGUUCAAUGGAGCCAUAAUCGAAUGGCAAGAAAAUACCAAAGACACUUCAAGGGUUGUCCUACAUGAAAUUGGUCAAGACUUCAAGAUGGAGGCAUCAUGAAAGUUCAAGGAAGAUGGAAAAGGCAAAGAGCAAGGCUUACUUGCUAAUGAAGUAAGCUUGAAAUUGGAGUCAAAAGAGAAGAUGGAACAAUGAAUAAUGAAGAAUGAAGAUUAUGAAGUUUAUGAUUUUAGAAAAGAUGGGUUGACUUUGGUCAAAGUUGACAAAAAAUUCAAAAUGUUGACCAAAGUCAACUUUGGUCCAAGUUGUGAUUUUAUUUUUUGUAAUUUUCUAAUAAAAAUGAUGUAAAUGAACAUGUUUAUAGAAUGCCUUUUUAUUUUAUUUUAAUGAAAAUAAAACUUUAAAUUUAAA